GACGAACGCUGGCGGCGUGCUUAACACAUGCAAGUCGAACGGAGAAUUUUAUUUCGGUAGAAUUCUUAGUGGCGAACGGGUGAGUAACGCGUAGACAACCUGCCUCUUAGAUGGGGACAACAUCGCGAAAGCGGUGCUAAUACCGAAUGAAGUGGAGCUUCCGCAUGGAAGCAUCACCAAAGGUGGCCUCUAUUUAUAAGCUACCACUGAGAGAUGGGUCUGCGUCUGAUUAGCUAGUUGGCGGGGUAAUGGCCCACCAAGGCGACGAUCAGUAGCCGGUCUGAGAGGAUGAACGGCCACAUUGGGACUGAGACACGGCCCAAACUCCUACGGGAGGCAGCAGUGGGGAAUCUUCCGCAAUGGACGAAAGUCUGACGGAGCAACGCCGCGUGAGUGAAGAAGGUUUUCGGAUCGUAAAGCUCUGUUGUUUGAGACGAAUGUGCAGACUUUGAAUAAGGGUUUGUAAUGACGGUAUUAAACGAGAAAGCCACGGCUAACUACGUGCCAGCAGCCGCAGUAA
rnacentral:rRNA from 1 species